GGUACCGUCAAAUUCCAGUGGUAUUGGCACUGAAAUAUUUCUUUCCACCUAACAGAGCUUUACGACUCGAAAGCCUUCAUCGCUCACGCGGCGUCACUGCGUCAGGGUUUCCCCCAUUGCGCAAUAUUCCUCA
rnacentral:rRNA from 1 species